GCCCGAUGAACCUGAAUAUCCGUUAUGGAAAAUUCAUCAUUAAAGUUGUAAUAUUUUAACAAUAUUAUAAUAAUAGUGUGCAUUUUUUCCAUAUAAGGACAUUGUAAUCUAUUAGCAUAUAACAAAUUUAUCAUAAAAUAUGACUUAUAGUUUAUUCAAAUUAUUAUGCUUGCAUUUUAACAUAGAAUAAAUGUCAUUAAUUUGAUAAAGUGUUGAUAAAUUAAAAUUAAUACAGUGCGUUAAUUUUUCGAAAUUAUAUAAUGGCAUAAUUAUCAUUGAUUUUUGUGUUUAUUAUAUGCAUUUGUAUGAUUAACAAUGCGAAAGAUUCAGGAUACUUCGGG
rnacentral:rRNA from 1 species